UACAGAGGAGCCAAGCGUUGUCCGGAUUUACUGGGCGUAAAGAGCGCGCAGGCGGUCGUUCAAGUCGCGUGUGAAAGCCCCCGGCUCAACUGGGGAGGGUCACGCGAUACUGAUCGACUCGAAGGCAGGAGAGGGAAGUGGAAUUCCCGGUGUAGUGGUGAAAUGCGUAGAUAUCGGGAGGAACACCAGUGGCGAAGGCGACUUCCUGGCCUGUUCUUGACGCUGAGGCGCGAAAGCGUGGGUAGCAAACAGG
rnacentral:rRNA from 1 species